rnacentral:lncRNA from 1 species
GAUUGAUAAAGAAAACACAUAUAUUAAGAUUAAAUUGAUUACAUGUUCACAAAAUAACUACAUCUAAUCCCAACAACAAAGGAAUUUAGCUAGACAUGAUAAAAGUAAACUUACAAGAAAAAGGGAUGAAGAACAUCUCUUGAUUUCUCAAGUAUAAUGAUGAAUCCACCUUCAAGAACUCUUAAAACUAAUGUUACUCGUAUCUUUUAACUAUUAC